UACAGAGGUGCCGAGCGUUAGGCGGAAUCACUGGGCUUAAAGCGUGUGUAGGCGGACUUCUAAGUACCUUGUGAAAUCCCACGGCUCAACCGUGGAACUGCUGGGUAUACUGGUCGUCUUGAGCCACCUAGGGGCGAGCGGAACAAAUGGUGGAGCGGUGAAAUGCGUAGAUAUCAUUUGGAACGCCAACGGUGAAAACAGCUCGCUGGGGGUGUGCUGACGCUGAGACACGAAAGCCAGGGGAGCGAACGGG
rnacentral:rRNA from 1 species